rnacentral:rRNA from 1 species
CUGAAACCGUGUACGUACAAGCAGUGGGAGCCUCUUAAUGGGGUGACUGCGUACCUUUUGUAUAAUGGGUCAGCGACUUAUAUUCUGUAGCAAGGUUAACCGAAUAGGGGAGCCGAAGGGAAACCGAGUCUUAACUGGGCGUUAAGUUGCAGGGUAUAGACCCGAAACCCGGUGAUCUAGCCAUGGGCAGGUUGAAGGUUGGGUAACACUAACUGGAGGACCGAACCGACUAAUGUUGAAAAAUUAGCGGAUGACUUGUGGCUGGGGGUGAAAGGCCAAUCAAACCGGGAGAUAGCUGGUUCUCCCCGAAAGCUAUUUAGGUAGCGCCUCGUGAAUUCAUCUCCGGGGGUAGAGCACUGUUUCGGCAAGGGGGUCAUCCCGACUUACCAACCCGAUGCAAACUGCGAAUACCGGAGAAUGUUAUCACGGGAGACACACGGCGGGUGCUAACGUCCGUCGUGAAGAGGGAAACAACCCAGACCGCCAGCUAAGGUCCCAAAGUCAUGGUUAAGUGGGAAACGAUGUGGGAAGGCCCAGACAGCCAGGAUGUUGGCUUAGAAGCAGCCAUCAUUUAAAGAAAGCGUAAUAGCUCACUGGUCGAGUCGGCCUGCGCGGAAGAUGUAACGGGGCUAAACCAUGCACCGAAGCUGCGGCAGCGACACUAUGUGUUGUUGGGUAGGGGAGCGUUCUGUAAGCCUGUGAAGGUGGCCUGUGAGGGUUGCUGGAGGUAUCAGAAGUGCGAAUGCUGACAUAAGUAACGAUAAAGCGGGUGAAAAGCCCGCUCGCCGGAAGACCAAGGGUUCCUGUCCAACGUUAAUCGGGGCAGGGUGAGUCGACCCCUAAGGCGAGGCCGAAAGGCGUAGUCGAUGGGAAACAGGUUAAUAUUCCUGUACUUGGUGUUACUGCGAAGGGGGGACGGAGAAGGCUAUGUUGGCCGGGCGACGGUUGUCCCGGUUUAAGCGUGUAGGCUGGUUUUCCAGGCAAAUCCGGAAAACCAAGGCUGAGGCGUGAUGACGAGGCACUACGGUGCUGAAGUGACAAAUGCCCUGCUUCCAGGAAAAGCCUCUAAGCAUCAGGUAACAUCAAAUCGUACCCCAAACCGACACAGGUGGUCAGGUAGAGAAUACCAAGGCGCUUGAGAGAACUCGGGUGAAGGAACUAGGCAAAAUGGUGCCGUAACUUCGGGAGAAGGCACGCUGAUAUGUAGGUGAAGCGACUUGCUCGUGGAGCUGAAAUCAGUCGAAGAUACCAGCUGGCUGCAACUGUUUAUUAAAAACACAGCACUGUGCAAACACGAAAGUGGACGUAUACGGUGUGACGCCUGCCCGGUGCCGGAAGGUUAAUUGAUGGGGUUAGCGGUAACGCGAAGCUCUUGAUCGAAGCCCCGGUAAACGGCGGCCGUAACUAUAACGGUCCUAAGGUAGCGAAAUUCCUUGUCGGGUAAGUUCCGACCUGCACGAAUGGCGUAAUGAUGGCCAGGCUGUCUCCACCCGAGACUCAGUGAAAUUGAACUCGCUGUGAAGAUGCAGUGUACCCGCGGCAAGACGGAAAGACCCCGUGAACCUUUACUAUAGCUUGACACUGAACAUUGAGCCUUGAUGUGUAGGAUAGGUGGGAGGCUUUGAAGUGUGGACGCCAGUCUGCAUGGAGCCGACCUUGAAAUACCACCCUUUAAUGUUUGAUGUUCUAACGUUGGCCCGUAAUCCGGGUUGCGGACAGUGUCUGGUGGGUAGUUUGACUGGGGCGGUCUCCUCCUAAAGAGUAACGGAGGAGCACGAAGGUUGGCUAAUCCUGGUCGGACAUCAGGAGGUUAGUGCAAUGGCAUAAGCCAGCUUGACUGCGAGCGUGACGGCGCGAGCAGGUGCGAAAGCAGGUCAUAGUGAUCCGGUGGUUCUGAAUGGAAGGGCCAUCGCUCAACGGAUAAAAGGUACUCCGGGGAUAACAGGCUGAUACCGCCCAAGAGUUCAUAUCGACGGCGGUGUUUGGCACCUCGAUGUCGGCUCAUCACAUCCUGGGGCUGAAGUAGGUCCCAAGGGUAUGGCUGUUCGCCAUUUAAAGUGGUACGCGAGCUGGGUUUAGAACGUCGUGAGACAGUUCGGUCCCUAUCUGCCGUGGGCGCUGGAGAACUGAGGGGGGCUGCUCCUAGUACGAGAGGACCGGAGUGGACGCAUCACUGGUGUUCGGGUUGUCAUGCCAAUGGCACUGCCCGGUAGCUAAAUGCGGAAGAGAUAAGUGCUGAAAGCAUCUAAGCACGAAACUUGCCCCGAGAUG